rnacentral:miRNA from 1 species
AUGGUCCCGAUGACCGGAAGGAAUCCCUUCCGGUCAUCGAGACUGUACAGUCUCGAUGACCGGAAGGAAUCCCUUCCGGCCAUCGAGAUUGU